rnacentral:lncRNA from 1 species
GUAUCAGGGUCAGGUUCUACAUCAUGAUUGCAUAGUUAGUUUUCUGAUUUUUUUGAUUUUUUUGAUUUGGUUUUAAAUCAAAAUUUUUGAUGUGAUUAAAUCUUAUUUUCAUAUUAUAUUUUUUAUAUUUUUUGAUCUGAUUUUGACUAGAUUAUCCGAUCAAAAUUAGCCCCUAAAAAUAGUCUAUUGAAAAUAUGUUUUAGCAAAAAUUCUGUACAGAUUUUUAUUUUGAUUUAAAAUCUAAUUAUA